AGCGAACGCUGGCGGCAGGCCUAACACAUGCAAGUCGAACGAACUCUUCGGAGUUAGUGGCGGACGGGUGAGUAACACGUGGGAACGUGCCUUUUGGUUCGGAAUAACUCAGGGAAACUUGUGCUAGUACCGAAUGUGCCCUUCGGGGGAAAGAUUUAUCGCCAUUAGAGCGGCCCGCGUCUGAUUAGCUAGUUGGUGAGGUAACGGCUCACCAAGGCGACGAUCAGUAGCUGGUCUGAGAGGAUGACCAGCCACACUGGGACUGAGACACGGCCCAGACUCCUACGGGAGGCAGCAGUGGGGAAUCUUGCGCAAUGGGCGAAAGCCUGACGCAGCCAUGCCGCGUGAAUGAUGAAGGUCUUAGGAUUGUAAAAUUCUUUCACCGGGGACGAUAAUGACGGUACCCGGAGAAGAAGCCCCGGCUAACUUCGUG
rnacentral:rRNA from 1 species